ACAAAAAUGACAUUUUACUCUUUAUAAUGUGGCAAAAAUUUAUACACUCAUCAUAUCACUCGCAGAUACUAAUAAUUAUGUGAAAUCGAAACUUUUUACUGUCUUUCCAUCCAAACCGAUCCUAACGGUAGGAUUGUGAUCGAUAAUCUUGUAAGCAUCCAAGUCAGCAACUUUAAUCAUGCAAUAAGUCUUUAUAGACUCGGAAGUCAACUCAGAUCAACUACUUCAACAAAUUCCAAUAAAGUUUCUAGUAGAUCACAUUGCAUGAUUCGCAUGUCAAUGACUUGUUCUCAUGCUACCGAAAGACGAAAACGCGUUUGAA
rnacentral:lncRNA from 1 species